rnacentral:piRNA from 1 species
UGCAGAGCCUCAAACAGAUUCUGUGGGAC